CCUACGGGAGGCAGCAGUGAGGAAUAUUGGUCAAUGGACGAGAGUCUGAACCAGCCAAGUAGCGUGAAGGAUGACUGCCCUAUGGGUUGUAAACUUCUUUUAUAUGGGAAUAAAACGUUCCACGUGUGGGAUUUUGUAUGUACCAUAUGAAUAAGGGUCGGCUAACUCCGUGCCAGCAGCCGCGGUAAUACGGAGGAUCCGAGCGUUAUCCGGAUUUAUUGGGUUUAAAGGGAGCGUAGGUGGAUUGUUAAGUCAGUUGUGAAAGUUUGCGGCUCAACCGUAAAAUUGCAGUUGAAACUGGCAGUCUUGAGUACAGUAGAGGUGGGCGGAAUUCGUGGUGUAGCGGUGAAAUGCUUAGAUAUCACGAAGAACUCCGAUUGCGAAGGCAGUUCACUGGACUGCAACUGACACUGAGGCUCGAAAGUGUGGGUAUCAAACAGGAUUAGAUACCCGAGUAGUC
rnacentral:rRNA from 1 species